GAGACCAACAUCCUCCAUCAAGCAGGUCAGUUUGUCUAUUUACUUAGGGAGGUAUACUUCAACAACAGUCAAUACCAACAGAUUCAUGGAAACACCAUGUUACUUAAAAUCAGUUUUUUUAUCUUAUAGGUGUAUUGUUCCAAUUAUUUAAGGGACAAGGUAUAAACUGGCAAUUGUUGCUUUGGAGCUACAGGUUCUAAACUUAGUUGCCAUGUUCUAUGGAUUCCAGUGAAGUUAUAACAUUCAUAUUAUACAUCCUAAGGAGUCCCAACAAAAUCAAUACCAAAAUAUCUACCAGGUACUAGGCUGGCUGUGAGGAAGCAAAUACAUAGCAAGGAAACAGACUGCCUUUACUUCAAGUAGCUUACAGGCUACAACUUAGCUUUGAAAAGUUAAAGGUCCAACUGUGUGGUACAGAUUGGAAGCACAGUGGCAUGGGGACUGGAUUAACUGGGAAAGGCUUCCAGAGAUGGUAGGACUUACGCAGAAGGAAAAGAAAGUCUUAGAAAUAAAUGAAAUAACAUAGAUAACAUGGACAAUGUAGUAAGCUCUUCUGUAUCAUCAAUGUGAUGACUCCAAUACAUGCUCUUGGAGCAUAAGCAAUCCAGGUGCCAACAGAGAUCAACUGAGCAGCUGGGAAAUAAACCCUCACCAGAGGACAGCAGUUCAGAUGAUGGAAGCUCUGAUCCAUGCAAGUCCAGCUCCCAUAAUCCCAGAAGAAAACCCUAUGGAUGCCAAGGCUAUCAGCUCACUAGUCACCUCCCUCAACACCCAGCCCCAAUGUCAAAGUUGUAAACCUUUAUACUCCCCUGAAUGAAUCUGAAGAACAGAUAAAAAUGGCCUUUAUAUGAACAAUCCAAGCACAACUACAAGAGCUGAAUGAGUUUCAGCAACUGCUUAGAGGCUUCAAGCACAAGUUGCCUUUUUUCUUUCCAUUUAAUUCAUCUUCUGACCAUGAAUUCAAUCCACAUCCCAGCACGUCUCAAUCUGGAGUUUCUUAAAGUCUGAGGAUGCACAUUUCCAACCUAAGACACAACAGUGUUUGUGUCUUUUGUACCUACUGUUCAGAAUAAGAACAAUUGAUACAGUAAAACCCAAAGCACUUGAAACAAAAAAGGCAUGUCAAGCAAUAAUGCGAAGUAGGUUUGGACAGGUAGAGUGAGACAGAUCAUGGAGGCUUCUCAGCACAGGCAGCUAUUUGAUGUUCCAGAGUGGAUAAGUGACACAGGAAGACUGUGUUUCAAGGAUACUUAGCAACAGUGGGACACACAGUAGAGACCUAGGGGACAGGAAGAACAGAAGUCUGACAAGAUGCCAUGGUUCCUUCCACUCACAAAAGCCUGGCUCAGAUGCAAAGCCAGCCAAUGUUGUAAGUAAAGUGUAGUUGAUUCUUGGGGUUCUACUACCAACAGGCCACCGCAGAACACAAGGACCUUAUCUCAACUAGGGGUGAUUUGGGCCCCCAGGAAACAUAUGGCAAGGACUGGAGCUUUGAGCUGCUUUUAAGUGGUACGGAUGAAGUUCCACAUAAUUUCAGCAACCAUCUUUACAUGAAUUUGCACAACAGUUAGCUGAGAAAUACAAGAUAUAUUGUAGUUAUGUUCCCUGUAUAAAGCCAACUGGCUUCACGGAUGCCAACGGGCACCUGACAUUAGACAUAUAAACUUUAUCCUCCACAAAAAGGGCUAACUAAAUAUAGACAACUAUUUACUAGGGCCCCUGUGUGCCUGCCAUGGGUUCACUGGGCCAGUUCAGGACACUGGACAUACGACCAGGGCUCCACAGUCUACACACAGAUUCUCAGUGUCCUAAAGCAACCUUCAUGCAUUUACUUCCCACAUCACAGUAGCUAUCUUCCAAGCUCAGAUCCAAGAUACACAACCAAGAUAUUUUAGUAACAACCUGUCUAGAAACUGGAAGAACACUAUAAAGCCACAUGCACGUGUGAUCCAAUGACAGAAGGAAGGAGCUUAUUUUCUUUUCUACAUGAGCACAUCUGUUUGGAUAUUCACUAGAGUAAAUACUUAAAUGACUAAUUCACAGUUUCACUUUGUCAUGGUUAAAGUAUUUUAUGUGACAUCUGCUUCUGCUAAAUCAGGAUCUUGUUUCCUCCUGAGCUGUCACACUGAAGGCAGGAACAUAUGAUGCUGGUUGUGUUGCACCAGCAAAAGCUUGAGAGAAUAACCUUUUCAGACACAAGACUCCCAGCUUCCUUUAGUAUCUGUGAAGCAUCUAUUACUGCAAGUCAACAGACCCACUGACCACAGGAAGACCUCAACUAGUGCACAGAAUUAUGCUUCAAUUAUAUUCAAGUGAGAAACGGCCUGCAUGGAACAACCAAUCAGAGCAUGGCAAGACCCCUAGAUAUGGAAGUGGCUCAGGGAGAGCUGGAGCCAACACCACCACUCGAAACUGCAGUGCUCCAACCCAGAACUCUGCUUUGGGAGUGACAGCGCUUGGGUCAAUAAAAAUCUAGAACUUCAAUUAC